rnacentral:rRNA from 1 species
GAUGAACGCUGGCGGCGUGCUUAACACAUGCAAGUCGAACGGAAAGGCCCUGCUUUUGUGGGGUGCUCGAGUGGCGAACGGGUGAGUAACACGUGAGUAACAUGCACUUGACUUUGUGAUAACUUCAGGAAAAUGGGGAUAAUACAGGAUAGGAGCUACUGCUGCAUGGUGGGGGUUGGAAAGAUACGGCGGUUGGGGAUGGACUAGCGGCUUAUGAGCUUGAUGGUGGGGUAGUGGCUUACCAAGGCUUUGACGGGUAGCCCGCCUGAGAGGUUGACCGGCCACAAUGGUACUGAGAGACGGCCCAGACUCCUACGGGAGGCAGCAGUGGAGAACAUUGCACAAUAGGCGCAAGCCUGAGACAGCAACGCCGCGUGCGUGAUGACGUCCUACGGGUUGUAAACCGCUGUCUCCGGUGACGAAGCGUGAUUGACGGUAAUUGGUAAAGAAGCACCGGCUAACUACGUG